AUGGCGGGUUCCUCCUUACGAACUCCAAGACAGUCUUCGGACAUAUUGAUCGUGUCUGGACCUGUAACACACACACCACACACAACCGCAGAGAAUAUAAUAUGCCACAAGUCCAAUCCGCUGACAACUUUUUGUAUCCUGACAUCACGUCUGCCCGGUCAUAAUUUCAAACUGUUUUUUGUCUGCCGCUCAAUGUUUCGGCACGCGGUUGCCAUUGGCACGUCUUGUCAAAGCAGAGAUCGUGUCCCCUUAUUGUGGGAUUUUUCAUUAAUACGGGCGUGGGUAACCCAACCGUGCCGUUUACACAGCCCUUGGGAACAGGCAAGUUUUAAGGCAAGUAGGGAGGCUCUCAAUAUUCACUGCCUUUAUAAGGAGAUAAGAAUCCCCAUUCUUCGCCCACGCAUUCCCUUCCUCUCUGUCCUUCCAUUCUCGAGCUCCAGCGCCCAAGUUCCCAUCUUCCCCUUCUCAAGGAAGCACUUAGACAUGUCCGGAUCUGGAGGCCAAGGCAAGUGGAUGGUCUCCUCCGUUAAGGAGAAGGACAUCACCCAGCUUCGGGUGGCCGGGUACCUGGCGAAAGGAAUCACCCACCGUCUGCCCUCCAAGGGGCAAGUCAUCCCCACCCCGAAGCCUACUGAGAGGGUAGUUUUCCUCCCUCACUUCCGCCGUGGAUUGGGGUUUCCACUUCACCCCUUCGUCCGCGGACUGAUGUACUAUUACGGGCUAGAUUCCCACGAUCUAGCCCCACACUCCUUCCUCAACAUCUUGGCAUUUAUUGUCAUGUGCGAGGCCUUCCUCCAUAUCCACCCCCACUUCGACCUAUGGCUCAAGGUCUUCAACGUGAAGUCGAAGGUGGUGGACGGUCAGCACGCAGAGUGCGGGGGCACCAUGGUGAGCAAGAUGCCCAAUGUCACUUGGCCCAUAGGAACUUUUGUGGAGACCGUCAAGGAGUGGCAGAAGCAAUGGUUCUACAUCAUAGAGGCGUGCGGCGCCACUUGGGCCAUAGCUCCCGAGUUUAGGGUCAGAGCCCUAAUGCGGCUCACCUCCUGGAAGGAGAAAGGCCCCAACUGGUCAGCGUCAGACGAGCUGAUGGCACUACAAACGCGAAUUUAG
rnacentral:rRNA from 1 species